CUCCAUAUUCCGGUGAACGGAGCUGCUAAAACGAGAUGUUUCUACAAGGAGGUCUGGUGGAGAGGACAGAGACUCUCAUUAUGAAGGGAUGAGGACAGACAUGUUUAUUAUUCAGAGGACAAACGUAAUUGUAAUAUUACUAUAAUAUCAUGAUUAAUGACAUGUUUAUGGAUGCUGGAAGAGAUAUUGGAUCCCUGCUGUACGCGGAGAGAGGAGGUCAUCAUAUCACGACUCAGUCACACAGGUCUGAACUCAACUCUGUUCGUAAUGGCAACGAAACUGAAGAUGUGGAGCACGUCGUUACGAAGGGUCAAAAUACAAUAACGAAAGAAACCGAUUGGAGGCUCAAAUUGUCCACCGGGGACGGAAGUGGAGUGUGGAGGGAGUCGUGUCAGUGGAGCAGGGUGGGCCCGACUGCUUUAGACCCCUGAUGCGUCUCAUAGAAGAGACGGGACCAGGUCGUAGGAUCCAGGUAACAGCGGCAGGCUGAGCAAUAAACCCUGAACCUGCACACUCCGGUACAGCAGGUGGCGCGAUGCACCUGGUCACGUGACGCUGGUUGCGACCCGCCAGAACAAACCGGAAGAAGAAGAAGAAGAAGACGUGAGGGAGACGCGUAGAAAGUCACCAAGCUUCACUUUAACGUCUUAAAGUGUCACAUCGUAGCAGUUGGGUCUGACACCCCCUGCUCCUCAACACCUGCAGAACUUCUUUAGCUUUCAAGUCCAUGAAGGAUUAAACAGCCACAAACCUGCCAAGAGGAGGAAGUCCACCCAAACUGACAAGCAGGACCAGGAGACAAUGAAUGAGGGGAAGAUAGACGGAGCCAAAUAGAGGACAAGAGGACAAUGAGCCUAAACAUGCAGCCUGGGCUACAAUGGAAUAGUUCACAUCAAAGCAUUCAUGUUGUAAAACGGCCCAAAGCCCAAACCUCAACCACACCGAUUGGUUCUUAAAUGAGAUGAACAGUCAAACGUUUGGACACGUUUACUCAUUCGAUUCAAUGAGAAAGUGUCCAAACCUUUGGACUGAAUUGGGCUACAAAAACAUCUGUAAUAACCGAGAUCCAUUUAUAUUCACUAGCUAACGUUUCUUCAUAUGCUACCCCGCUAUACGCUGGAUCACUGACGCAUUUAUACCCUACAAACCUUCCAUUCCAGGACUUUUACUGUGAAAAUGUGCACUUCUGGUUUAGCUGCUGCGCUUCCAUUUGGCUUCAUAGGAAAAACCCAAAUUGGUGGUUUGUCAAUAACGUGUGAGCUCUGCCAGCAGGUUGGUGUGAAGGUGUGAAGGUGUGGACUCUGCUAUGAAUCAGGUUGAGGACCCAGAGGACGGAGUCCCUCCCUCUGAAGCCCCUCUGUGUGGGGAACAUGACAGCCAGACCAAAGCUCAGAGGAUCCAUCAGAGACCAGGACCUGGACCUGGACCCAGCUGUGUGUCCAUGAAGAGUAACCGGUCUAUGGAUCGUCCUGUAGCCUUCAAAGAUGUUGGUCCCUCUGUUGAUGCAAGGUGAGGGUCUCAGGCUGAUGAUGAGGGUCCUUCCUCAAUACCUGAGACGGAGAGAACGGACUCACAGGUACAAGAGAACGUUCAUUUCCACAUGUGGAACAGCAGCUGAGUUGUUUAUUGGACAGCAAGUCUGAUCUGAUAACUGAGAUAUUUUAGCUAAUUGUAUGUAUG
ensembl:lncRNA